rnacentral:rRNA from 1 species
AUUGAACGCUGGCGGCAGGCCUAACACAUGCAAGUCGAGCGAGCGGCGGACGGGUGAGUAAUGUAUGGGGACUGCCCGAUAGAGGGGGAUAACUACUGGAAACGGUAGCUAAUACCGCAUCCUCUCGGAUAACCCAUAAGGUAUUAGCUAGUAGGUGUGGUAAUGGCUCACCUAGGCGACGAUACCUAGCUGGUCUGAGAGGAUGAUCAGCCAGACUGGGACUGAGACACGGCCAAGACUCCUACGGAGGAAGCAGUGAGGAAUCUUGCACAACGGGCGCAAGCCUGAAGCAGCCAUGCCGCGUGUAUGAAGAAGGCCAUAGGGGUGUAAAGUACAUUCAGUCGGGAGGCGUUACCGACAGAAGAAGCACCGGCUAACUCCGUGCCAGCAGCCGCGGUAAUUC